rnacentral:rRNA from 1 species
UACGGAGGGUGCGAGCGUUAAUCGGAAUUACUGGGCGUAAAGCGCGCGUAGGCGGUUUGUUAAGUUUGAUGUGAAAGCCCUGGGCUUAACCUGGGAACUGCAUUGGAUACUGGCAGGCUGGAGUGUGGUAGAGGGGUGUGGAAUUUCCGGUGUAGCAGUGAAAUGCGUAGAGAUCGGAAGGAACACCAGUGGCGAAGGCGGCACCCUGGACCAACACUGACGCUGAGGUGCGAAAGCGUGGGGAGCAAACAGG